UAUGGGGGGACCAUCCUCCAAGGCUAAAUACUCCUGACUGACCGAUAGUGAACCAGUACCGUGAGGGAAAGGCGAAAAGAACCCCGGCGAGGGGAGUGAAAAAGAACCUGAAACCGUGUACGUACAAGCAGUGGGAGCACGCUUAGGCGUGUGACUGCGUACCUUUUGUAUAAUGGGUCAGCGACUUAUAUUCUGUAGCAAGGUUAACCGAAUAGGGGAGCCGAAGGGAAACCGAGUCUUAACUGGGCGUUAAGUUGCAGGGUAUAGACCCGAAACCCGGUGAUCUAGCCAUGGGCAGGUUGAAGGUUGGGUAACACUAACUGGAGGACCGAACCGACUAAUGUUGAAAAAUUAGCGGAUGACUUGUGGCUGGGGGUGAAAGGCCAAUCAAACCGGGAGAUAGCUGGUUCUCCCCGAAAGCUAUUUAGGUAGCGCCUCGUGAAUUCAUCUCCGGGGGUAGAGCACUGUUUCGGCAAGGGGGUCAUCCCGACUUACCAACCCGAUGCAAACUGCGAAUACCGGAGAAUGUUAUCACGGGAGACACACGGCGGGUGCUAACGUCCGUCGUGAAGAGGGAAACAACCCAGACCGCCAGCUAAGGUCCCAAAGUCAUGGUUAAGUGGGAAACGAUGUGGGAAGGCCCAGACAGCCAGGAUGUUGGCUUAGAAGCAGCCAUCAUUUAAAGAAAGCGUAAUAGCUCACUGGUCGAGUCGGCCUGCGCGGAAGAUGUAACGGGGCUAAACCAUGCACCGAAGCUGCGGCAGCGACGCUUAUGCGUUGUUGGGUAGGGGAGCGUUCUGUAAGCCUGCGAAGGUGUGCUGUGAGGCAUGCUGGAGGUAUCAGAAGUGCGAAUGCUGACAUAAGUAACGAUAAAGCGGGUGAAAAGCCCGCUCGCCGGAAGACCAAGGGUUCCUGUCCAACGUUAAUCGGGGCAGGGUGAGUCGACCCCUAAGGCGAGGCCGAAAGGCGUAGUCGAUGGGAAACAGGUUAAUAUUCCUGUACUUGGUGUUACUGCGAAGGGGGGACGGAGAAGGCUAUGUUGGCCGGGCGACGGUUGUCCCGGUUUAAGCGUGUAGGCUGGUUUUCCAGGCAAAUCCGGAAAAUCAAGGCUGAGGCGUGAUGACGAGGCACUACGGUGCUGAAGCAACAAAUGCCCUGCUUCCAGGAAAAGCCUCUAAGCAUCAGGUAACAUCAAAUCGUACCCCAAACCGACACAGGUGGUCAGGUAGAGAAUACCAAGGCGCUUGAGAGAACUCGGGUGAAGGAACUAGGCAAAAUGGUGCCGUAACUUCGGGAGAAGGCACGCUGAUAUGUAGGUGAAGUCCCUCGCGGAUGGAGCUGAAAUCAGUCGAAGAUACCAGCUGGCUGCAACUGUUUAUUAAAAACACAGCACUGUGCAAACACGAAAGUGGACGUAUACGGUGUGACGCCUGCCCGGUGC
rnacentral:rRNA from 1 species